UAACACAUUGCAAGUCGAACGAUGACUCUCUAGCUUGCUAGAGAAGAUUAGUGGCGGACGGGUGAGUAACAUUUAGGAAUCUGCCUAGUAGUGGGGGAUAGCUCGGGGAAACUCGAAUUAAUACCGCAUACGACCUACGGGUGAAAGGGGGCGCAAGCUCUUGCUAUUAGAUGAGCCUAAAUCAGAUUAGCUAGUUGGUGGGGUAAAGGCCCACCAAGGCGACGAUCUGUAACUGGUCUGAGAGGAUGAUCAGUCACACCGGAACUGAGACACGGUCCGGACUCCUACGGGAGGCAGCAGUGGGGAAUAUUGGACAAUGGGGGCAACCCUGAUCCAGCCAUGCCGCGUGUGUGAAGAAGGCCUUUUGGUUGUAAAGCACUUUAAGCAGGGAGGAGAGGCUAAUGGUUAAUACCCAUUAGAUUAGACGUUACCUGCAGAAUAAGCACCGGCUAACUCUGUGCCAGCAGCCGCGGUAAUACAGAGGGUGCGAGCGUUAAUCGGAAUUACUGGGCGUAAAGCGAGUGUAGGUGGCUCAUUAAGUCACAUGUGAAAUCCCCGGGCUUAACCUGGGAACUGCAUGUGAUACUGGUGGUGCUAGAAUAUGUGAGAGGGAAGUAGAAUUCCAGGUGUAGCGGUGAAAUGCGUAGAGAUCUGGAGGAAUACCGAUGGCGAAGGCAGCUUCCUGGCAUAAUAUUGACACUGAGAUUCGAAAGCGUGGGUAGCAAACAGGAUUAGAUACCCUGGUAGUCCACGCCGUAAACGAUGUCUACUAGCCGUUGGGGUCCUUGAGACUUUAGUGGCGCAGUUAACGCGAUAAGUAGACCGCCUGGGGAGUACGGCCGCAAGGUUAAAACUCAAAUGAAUUGACGGGGGCCCGCACAAGCGGUGGAGCAUGUGGUUUAAUUCGAUGCAACGCGAAGAACCUUACCUGGUCUUGACAUAGUGAGAAUCUUUCAGAGAUGAGGGAGUGCCUUCGGGAAUUCACAUACAGGUGCUGCAUGGCUGUCGUCAGCUCGUGUCGUGAGAUGUUGGGUUAAGUCCCGCAACGAGCGCAACCCUUUUCCUUAUUUGCCAGCGGGUUAAGCCGGGAACUUUAAGGAUACUGCCAGUGACAAACUGGAGGAAGGCGGGGACGACGUCAAGUCAUCAUGGCCCUUACGACCAGGGCUACACACGUGCUACAAUGGUAGGUACAGAGGGUUGCUACACAGCGAUGUGAUGCUAAUCUCAAAAAGCCUAUCGUAGUCCGGAUUGGAGUCUGCAACUCGACUCCAUGAAGUCGGAAUCGCUAGUAAUCGCAGAUCAGAAUGCUGCGGUGAAUACGUUCCCGGGCCUUGUACACACCGCCCGUCACACCAUGGGAGUCUAUUGCACCAGAAGUAGGUAGCCUAACGAAAGAGGGCGC
rnacentral:rRNA from 1 species